rnacentral:tRNA from 1 species
ACCUGCUUGGUGUAAUGUGAGCAUCCCGGCUUCCAAACCCGGUGGUAGGAGUUAAAAUCUUCUAGCAGGUG